rnacentral:lncRNA from 1 species
CCCACGGACACAUUUUUUUUCCACUUAGACUUAGUUUUCUUCGUUACUAAACGAAGUUGAACUGUGUUUCCCUCAAUUUGAUAGUCUUUUGUUUUUGUGUGUUUCAGUCGUUUGGGGCUGGGGACUGAGAAUGGUUUGCUGGCUGAGGCUCCCCAAGCACUGGAGAGAUCCAGGUGCCCCCCAGUACAUAGUUGUAUAUUCCUCGUUGUGGGUCCUUCUAGUUGUGGCAUGUGGGACGCUGCCUCAGCGUGGUUUGAUGAGCAGUGCCAUGUCCGCGUCCAGGAUUCGAACCAACGAAACACUGGGCCGCCUGCAGCGGAGCACGUGAACUUAACCACUCAGCCACGGGGCCAGCCCCAUGAGAAGGAAAAUUUUAUGGGGAAAUCUCCGUGGGCGUGCCCAGACCUCCAGCCUGCUCGACUCAUUGUUCUGGUGCUUCCUGCACCCGGCACAGCGCUGUCCCCCGUCGUCAGCAAGUCUGCAGAGCCGCGGCAGGGCCUGCGGGAGGAGGCAGGCUCACCACACCAGCCCACAGACGCAUAUGGCGCUGCGUUCAC